UACGUAGGGUGCAAGCGUUAAUCGGAAUUACUGGGCGUAAAGCGUGCGCAGGCGGCUUUGCAAGACAGAUGUGAAAUCCCCGGGCUUAACCUGGGAACUGCAUUUGUGACUGCAUUGCUGGAGUGCGGCAGAGGGGGAUGGAAUUCCGCGUGUAGCAGUGAAAUGCGUAGAUAUGCGGAGGAACACCGAUGGCGAAGGCAAUCCCCUGGGCCUGCACUGACGCUCAUGCACGAAAGCGUGGGGAGCGAACAGG
rnacentral:rRNA from 1 species